rnacentral:rRNA from 1 species
CAGUCGCCGCGGGAAAACGAAGGGGGCUAGCGUUGCUCGGAAUGACUGGGCGUAAAGGGCGCGUAGGCGGCGGCCAAAGUCAGGCGUGAAAUUCCUGGGCUCAACCUGGGGGCUGCGCUUGAUACUUGGUUGCUUGAGUGGGGAAGAGGGUCGUGGAAUUCCCAGUGUAGAGGUGAAAUUCGUAGAUAUUGGGAAGAACACCGGUGGCGAAGGCGGCGACCUGGUCCUUGACUGACGCUGAGGCGCGAAAGCGUGGGGAGCAAACAGGAUUAGAUACCCCAGUAGUCCCUGUCUCUUAUAC